UACGUAGGGUGCGAGCGUUGUCCGGAAUUAUUGGGCGUAAAGAGCUCGUAGGCGGUCUGUCGCGUCGAUCGUGAAAACUUGGGGGCUUAACCCUGAGCUUGCGGUCGAUACGGGCAUGACUGGAGUUCGGCAGGGGAGACUGGAAUUCCUGGGUGUAGCGGUGAAAUGCGCAGAUAUCAGGAGGAACACCGGUGGCGAAGGCGGGUCUCUGGGCC
rnacentral:rRNA from 1 species